AGAUUGUUAAGGAUGAAUCAGUUGAGACACCACGGAGCCCAGGUGAUUUGCCAUCGCCUGUGCAAAAACGUUGUACUCUGUACAGAGGAGAGAGACCGGGCGCCAGUUCUUCAACAUGCGGAGUU